rnacentral:rRNA from 1 species
UACACUCCUACGGGAGGCAGCAGUGAGGAAUAUUGGACAAUGGGUGGAAGCCUGAUCCAGCCAUCCCGCGUGCAGGAAGACGGCCCUAUGGGUUGUAAACUGCUUUUAUCUGGGGAUAAACCUACUUACGUGUAAGUAGCUGAAGGUACCAGAAGAAUAAGCACCGGCUAACUCCGUGCCAGCAGCCGCGGUAAUAUGGAGGGUGCAAGCGUUAUCCGGAUUUAUUGGGUUUAAAGGGUCCGUAGGCGGACUGAUAAGUCAGUGGUGAAAUCCGACAGCUUAACUGUCGAACUGCCAUUGAUACUGUUAGUCUUGAGUAAGGUUGAAGUGGCUGGAAUAAGUAGUGUAGCGGUGAAAUGCGUAGAUAUUACUUAGAACACCAAUUGCGAAGGCAGGUCACUAAGUCUUAACUGACGCUGAUGGACGAAAGCGUGGGGAGCGAACAGGAUUAGAAACCCGUGUAGUCCC